AGAAUGGUGGGGCAGGAGAGCAGGGGUACCAGACCAAAGCAAGGCCCCGGUCACUGUCAUCGGGGCGAGCCUCUGGUGGUUACUGAAAAUUCUUUGCUCCUGUACGCUGCAGUCCCGCCUGGCCCUCAUACAUGCUGCCAACACCAGCCCCACUCGCACUCAGUGACCGCGCCGUAGCCACUGCUCACACCCGUUGGCGGUGCCUGGCACCAGCCCUGAUCACUCAGCGCCAUCUGCAGGUGUGAACUGUGGCUGCCAGCCCUGAUCACCCUCAGAUCUUUUCCACCUUUCCCUGCUCCUGAGGGAUGACUGGGACAGC